GACGAACGCUGGCGGCGUGCUUAACACAUGCAAGUCGAACGGGAAGGCCCUGCUUUUGUGGGUUGCUCGAUUGGCGAACGGGUGAGUAACACGUGAGUAACCUGCCCUUGACUUUGGGAUAACUUCAGGAAACUGGGGCUAAUACCGGAUAGGAGCUCCUGCUGCAUGGUGGGGGUUGGAAAGUUUCGGCGGUUGGGGAUGGACUCGCGGCUUAUCAGCUUGUUUGUGGGGUAGUGGCUUACCAAGGCUUUGACGGGUAGCCGGCCUUGGAGGGUGAACGGGCUCCAUGCGACUACGGGAGGGACCAGUAGCGUACGGGGGGCAACGGUCGGGAACCUUACGCAAUGGGGCGGAGUCUGAGACGACGACCUCCGGGUCGGGAAGACCGGCUUCGGGUUAUAAACCGCUUUCGCCUGUGACGAAGCGUGAGUGACGGUAAUGGGUAAAGAAGCACCGGCUAACUACGUG
rnacentral:rRNA from 1 species